rnacentral:rRNA from 14 species
CUCUCCGAAAUAGCUUUAGGCUAGCCUCGGAAUUAGAAUCAUGGGGUAGAGCAACUGUUUGGACUAGGGGCCCUUCUCGGGUUACCGAAUUCAGAUAAACUCCGAAUGCCAUUGAUUUAUAUCCGGGAGUCAGACUGCGAGUGAUAAGAUCCGUAGUCGAAAGGGAAACAGCCCAGACCACCAGCUAAGGUCCCAAAGUUUAUGUUAAGUGGAAA